CGACAAGAAGGAAAGGUUAAGCCGACUUAAGAGCAAGCAAGAAGAAUUUCAGAAAGAAGUGUUAAAAGCUAUGGAAGGAAAAUGGAUAACAGAUCAGUUGGUAAGUUGUAAUACAUGUUCUUUUUACUUGAGGCUACAUGUUUUUAAGUUGGUAGAGCUUAUAAAAUUAUUUUUAAUUAAAAUUUUUAAAAAUCGUAUUUAGCAGUCCUCUACUUAAUCCACUUGUAGCGUGGCUUUCUCAAAUAUUUCAUCUAGUUACCAAAAAUGGGGUAUCGGCAAUUAAUUAUGGAGCCAUUGUAAAGGAUAAUUAUGAAACCUGACAUGUUGACAUAGAAAAACAAAAACAAUGGGCUGUUAUUCUUUUUUGCAAAAAUUAUUUAUCAUACACACUCCAAAUGGAUUAAUGAUUAAAUGUGUCAAAGAAAAUAUGGGUGGCUAUUUACAUAAUCUUGGAGUGGGGAGAACCUUUAUAAACCGUAGAGGAAAGCAUUUUGACAGAUCAUAUAACAGUUUAAAACUUCCGGCCAGGUGCAAGGGUUAAUGCCUGUAAUCCCAGCUACUUGGGAGGCUGAGGCAGGAGAAUCACUUGAACCCGGGAGGCAGAGGCUAUAGUGAGCCAAGAUCGUGCCACAGCACUCCAGCCUGGGCAAUAAAGUGAGACUCCCUCAAACAAACAAACAAACAAAAAAUUUAACAAUUAAAGAGUUUGGGAGAGGCGUGGCAGCAGCCAGGCAGCCCGGCUUUGCUGAGGCUCUAGAUGCACUAUGCCUCGCAGGCGCUUGGCACACGCCUUCCCUGCAGCCAGGAUGCCCAAGAGGAAGGUCAGCUCCACUGAAUGGGCCACAGAGGAAGAGCCCAAGAGGAGAUCGGCACGCUUAUCAGCUGAACCUGCUCCUGCAAAAGUGGAAACGAAGCUGAGAAAGCAGCAGGAAAGGAUAAAUCUUCAGACAAAAAAGUGCAAAC
rnacentral:lncRNA from 1 species